AAUCUUUACAUUUAUUAAACUGUAUAAAUAUAUACAUAUAUACACAUAUGUAUACAUGUAUAAGCUAUGAAUACUGAGCCAAGUUCAAGUUGAGAUACUGAGAUGAGAUGCUAUCGGAGUUAACUUGAGUGGCAGUGGACUUUCUCUGAUGCAAGCUUAAAAGAGCGCACGGCAUAUCUAUUUAAAUGAAACAAAUGAAAAUGCGUGUAUAAUAUGUCUCCUAACUUGUAUCUUUAUUUCUAGUUGGCUCGGCAGUUAAAUCUCGUUCGAGUGUCUUUUCAGCUUGCUCUUUCAACUCACCAAGCAAAAUGUUACUUAUGCACAGGGGAGCACUGAGCAGCAAAACAGUCGAGCAAAGCUUAUGGACGUGUGAAGAUUUGGAGACAACCUGGCAUUAUUAUAAUUGAGCUAAAAUAAAAUGUUGUUUACAAAUAGUUGCUGUCUUUACGCAGUGGUGUUAAUGUUAACCGUCCCAACAUACAGCGCGCCCACCGAGCAGCGCAGAGUGGCAUUCAGCAGCAAACAACGAGCGAGGCGUCAAAUUUUCUCUAACUUCGGUGGCGACAAACCUUUCUUCACACCAGUGGACUUUAUUUUUGGACCAAAGCCCUUUCCGCGACCGCAGUGGGGACGCCCCGGUCCAGGCGAGCCGCUGAUUUUUAGCAAUGAUAGGAGAGAAGCACCCACCAGCACAACAACUACCACACCAUCACCAUCUAACGGUCAAGAAGCAAACAACAUUGCUGCACCAAACGUCGUUUUCAUUAACAAUCAACCCAUUGUUGCAACCAUAGUACCGUUUACAGCGCCGACGACGGCUUCGCCCCAAUUCUUGAACUGUUUUGGCAGCUGCCCCACCACUUCCGAGUACAAUCCGAUAUGUGCGAGUAAUCAGCAGCAAUAUCAGAAUCCGCAGAAGUUCGACUGUGCGCGGCAAUGCGGUGCAGAUAUCCAGAUUGUACGGCGUGGCGCUUGCGAAGGUCUCUUUCCAAUGCAACGUGGGUAACUUCAAUGCAAUACAAUGAGGAUACCUGGGUAUAAAUGUAUAUCUAUUCAUAUGAGUGAUAGCUCUUUCGUUGAUAAUAAUUUGUUUUAAAUAUUCAGCGUUCUUGUUAUAUACGCCAACAGUCAAUAAAAAUGGUGAUACCCGUUUUUUAUAUACAUAUAUAUA
rnacentral:misc_RNA from 1 species